CCAGUCCCCAGAGGUAUUGCAGGUGUGGCUGCUGUGUCACGUGUGUGUCAGUAGGUGGCAGAAAGGAGAGACGCUAUGUCUCUGCUCAGUGUUCUGACCUAUGAACAUCUAUCUAAAGGAUGUUCCUGA
ensembl:snoRNA Gm23195 small nucleolar RNA SNORA17